rnacentral:lncRNA from 1 species
AUGUGUUUUACUCUUAUAGUGUUUCAUAGAAUUCCCAACUCACCUUUUAAGCACCAUUCAUGGUUUUCUUUUGCUUCUGGAAGGUACGAAGCUUGAUUGUUGUCUUUGAAUUGUGAUCAGGGUUGUUCUUGCGCCAUUGACGAGAUCUCGAUCGUAUGGUAGCAUUCCUCAGCCUCAUGUCAAAUUAUAUUACACUCAGAGGACAACACCUGGUGGACUUCUUAUUUCCGAAGCCUGUGCAGUGUCCGAGACAUCAUUGGGGUAUAUAUAUAACUCUUCUAUAUCUUUAGCUUACAGUUAAAACUACAUUAAUAGCUGCGCUCUAACAUGUGAGCUCUGUUUGUGAAGCUAUCCGGAUAUACCUGGAAUAUGGACCAGAGAACAAGUGGAGGCAUGGAAGCCCAUCGUGGAUGCGGUUCAUUCGCAAGGCGGUAUCUUCUUCUGCCAGAUUUGGCACGGUGACAGAGUUUUUCAUCAAGGUUUGCCAAAAAUAUAGCUUUCUUCUUGUUAUAUACCAAAACCAAAAACAUUGAUGCUUUAGAUUCUUACCUUGUAUACUAAUUUUCUCCAUUCUUUAGACCAGCCAAAUGGGGAAGCACCCGUCUCCUCUACAGACAAGCCAUUGAUGUCCAAGAACAUGUAUGUGAAGAUGCAGCUUCUGAAGGAGUACCUGAACUAAGUCAAGAAGUAACUCAAGAGAACAGAGCAACAUGAACAAGAUUAAGGAAAUAUGCAGAAUCUUGUUAUGGCGGUUUGAAGUAAAGACUAGAAGCUUAGAGAAGAUUCUAGAAGACUGAAGAGUUUCCUUUUGCAAGAAGAAAAGGAAAACAUGAAGACAGAGGACAAUUUCCUAUUCCAUAAAGAAAAAGGAAAUUGUCCAUUCCAAUUAGUUUUAGAAUUGGAAAUCGACCUGUUGUAUGGUCUCAACCUAUUUAGUAUAAAUAGGGUGCUAAGGCUUGUAGAAAGCUGAGCACAAUCACUAGAGAGAAUUCCUAGCUAUUAAGUCUUAGUUUGAGAGAAAUAGAGAACUAGAGGCUUAAAGAGAGCUAAGGGUUUUAAAGAGAGUUAUUGUUCUUAAUCGGUCUGUGAUUAAUGAACAAGACUUAGUGAGAAUAGAAAAUAGUGUUAAAGGAGAAACCUUGUAAACAUAUUUUCUAUUAAUCGAAAGAGUUUUUGAGAAAUUCUGAGUUACAUCGUGAACUAAUUCAAAACUUAGUAGCUCUUGCAUUUACAAUUGGUAUCAGAGCGGUCGCUUGUGAAGAUUACAUACAGGUGAGGUCUUGUGGAAAAGAUGGAGAGUUAUCAAGAACUGCUUAAAAACGCAAAGGUUGUUCUAGACGAUUGUAACUAUGGUUUUUGGAAGUCAAGAAUCAAAUCUGUGAUAAGAGGGAUAGAUGUGUUAGCUUGGAAAGCUGUCUUGGAAGAAUGGAAAGAACCACAAAUUAAGAAUGAAGAUGGAAGCUUCACAGCCAAACCCGAGUCAGACUGGACUGAAGAUGAGAAGAAAAAGUCUAAAUUCAAUGCUAGAGCUCUCACAGCUAUUCACUGCAGUGUUGGAAGGAAACAAUUUGACUUAAUUCAGGGCUGUGAAACUGCUAAGGAAGCUUGGGAUAUUCUGCAAAUACACUAUGAGGGAACGAUUAAGGUUCAGACUUCAAGAAAAGAUUUGAUAGCUUCAAGAUUCGAGAAUCUGAAGAUGGAUGAGCAAGAUUCAAUCUCUGAUUUUAGCUCUAAACUAAGUUCAUUGGCGCAAGAAGCUUUAACGCUUGGGAAGAAGUAUAAAGACAAGAAGUUGGUCAAGAAAUUUCUAAGAUGUCUACCUUCAAGAUUUAUGGCGUACAAAACAGCUCUAACAGUGUCAAAUAAUACUGAUACUCUCAGUUUUGCUGAAGUUGUAGGGAUGCUUCAGGCUCAUGAGCUUGAAUUAGGAGGAACUAAGAAACCAAAAGGGUUGGCGUUGACAUCUUGUGAAAGCAAAUCUCAAGCAGAAGAAGAAGAUUCAUUGAGUCUGUUAGUUCGAAGGUUUGAUCGGUUGUUGAAAAGAGCAGAACAAGGACAAGGACAGAAGAAGUUUGGAUCUUUCAAAAAGAAUACUGACGAUACCAAACCAUCAAAGAAAGCUGACAUGCAAUGUCAUGAAUGUAAAGGGUAUGGACACUUUAUUCGUGAAUGUCCAACAGUCAAGAAAAGAGAAACUAAAUGCACAACAUGCAAAGGAAUGGGACAUGCUCAAGAUGACUGUAUCAGUAGUCGAAAAGAAAAAUCAAUGAUUGGUAUUGAAGAAGAAUCUGAGGAAGAGAGUGAGGAAGAAGAUAUCUUAAAUUAUGUAGCAUUGAUAGGCGUUACUGAGUUUGUUGAAGGUGAAGAAGAAACUGACUCUGAAUCAGAUGAGGAACAACAAGUGAAUUUUGUUGAAAGUUACAAAGAGGUGAGAGAAACUUUGAUUAAACUUGGUACAGAAAAUCAAGAUUUGCUAAAAGAAAAGAUACGUCUCGAAUCACUUGUUGAACUAUUACAGAAUCAACUAGAAGAUGAAAAGAAGAUUAGCAAAGAAAGUUUGAGUUUGAUGAAAGAAAAACUAAGCUUGUCUGCUAAAGCUGAUAAUUUGGAGAAAGAACUGAUCGCUGAAAGGAAGAUAUCUGCAGGACUACAAACAGAACUUAAUCAACAACAUCGGAAGAUUCACAUGUUUGCUGGAACAAAACAACUAGAUCAGAUUCUAAGCUAUGGAAGGACGGAAAAAACAAACAAAGGACUAGGGUACACUGGUCAUGGAGAAACAAGCACAGGUCAAACCAAGUUUGUGUCUGGAGGAAUAUCUCAUCAUGCACAAGAUGAAUCAAGAAAAAGUGUUUUCAAAGGCAUCGGAUGCUAUUUCUGUGGAAAGAUUGGGCACAUAAAGAUUCAUUGUUACAAGUACUGGGAGAAAGUGGGAAAACUCAGGUAUCAAAGGAAGUUUACAUGGAAUGGAUAUAAACAUCAAAUCUGGGUAAAGAAAAUUGAUCUAUAUCCAACUCUAGUCAGAAGAACUGCAGAAAGAGAUACAGGAAGUAGAGCAGGACUUGGUUUUAGAUGCAACAUGGCGUUAGUCACAGAGGAAUGCGAGAAAAAGAGUCCUUGGUACUUUGAUAGUGGGUGUUCACGCCAUAUGACAGGCACAAAAGAUUACUUACAAGACAUCAAGAAAAUCAAAGGAGGUAAAGUGACUUUUGGUGAUGGAGGUCAUGGAGACAUACAAGGUAAAGGAAAAACUAGUGAUGUAGAGCUACCUCAGCUGAUGAAUGUCUAUCUUGUUCGUGGAUUAAAGGCUAAUCUUAUUAGUGUAAGUCAGUUGUGUGACGAAGGUCUAGAAGUUACUUUCACUAAAGAAGAUUGUAAAGCAUUUGAUGAAACCGGUGACAUUGUUCUAGGAGGUAAGAGAACAGGAAACAAUUGUUAUAUGUGGGAAAACCGUACAACCAACUGUUUCUCUGCACGAGACAACCUUAAUCUAUGGCAUCAACGUCUAGGUCACAUGAAUACAAGAAAUCUGACUACUUUGGUUGACAAAGAAAUUAUCCGAGGAGUUCCUAAGCUUAAAGAUGAAGAUAAGAUGAUGUGUGGUCCAUGUAAUCAAGGGAAACAAGUCAAAGUGCAGCACAAGAAAGUUCCAGAUGUUCAGACUAAGUCAGCACUUGAUUUGGUUCAUAUGGAUUUAAUGGGGCCAAUGCCAAUUGAAAGCAUAGCUGGGAAGAAGUAUGUGUUUGUAUUGGUAGACGAUUUUUCUAGAUAUACAUGGGUGAGAUUCAUUCGAGAGAAGUCAGACGCAGCAGAUAGUUUCAGAAUAUGGGCUCUUCAGCUUAUCAAUGAGAGAGGAGGUAUUAAAAGAAUAAGAAGUGAUCAUGGUGGAGAAUUUCAAAAUGAAUCCAUGAAAGAUUUUUGUGAAAAGCAUGGAAUUGCACAUCAGUUUUCAGCUCCAAGAACACCUCAACAAAAUGGGGUUGUAGAAAGGAAGAAUAGAACUCUUCAAGAGAUGGCUAGAGCAAUGAUGCAUGGAAAUCAGGUUCCACAGAGGUUUUGGGCAGAAGCAAUAAACACAUCAUGCUAUAUCGUCAAUAGGGUCUAUGUGAGAAGAGAUUCGAUGAAGACUCCAUAUGAGUUAUGGAAAGGAAAGACUCCGAAUCUGAGCUACUUUCACGUGUUUGGAUGCAGAUGCUAUAUACUGAAUGACAAAGACUACCUUGGAAAAUUUGAUUCCAGAAGUGAUGAAGGCAUGUUUCUGGGUUACUCAGAGACUAGUACAGCAUUCAGAAUCUACAACAAAAGAACGUGUGCUAUUAUGGAAUCAGUUAAUGUUGUAUUUGAUGAUCAUUAUGUGUCAAAGGUUAGUGAAGAACUUGAAGAAAGUGACACAGAACUGGAUGAGAUAACCAAUAAAGAGGUUAAAGAAAAAAUGGAUGGUUCAUCGAUAGAACAAGAAGAUAGUCACAAAGAAGCUCAGAAAAUUCAGGUACACAAAAAUCAUUCAUCAUCAGACAUCAUUGGAGAUCUCCAAGAUCCGAUGAAAACCAGAGGUGUAAAGCUUGAUUUCAAGAAGAUGACAAGUAAUUUUGCAGAAUGGGAAACUUUGCAGUUUCAAUGCUUUGUUUCAUCCGUUGAACCAAAAAAUCAUGUUGAAGCACUUGAAGAUAAUUUCUGGAUCAUUGCUAUGCAGGAAGAGCUAGAACAGUUCGAAAGAAAUGAAGUUUGGGAAUUGAUUAAACGACCUGCGGAUACAAAUAUUAUAGGAACCAAAUGGAUUUUUAAGAACAAGAGUGAUGAAAAAGGAGUAGUUAUCAGAAAUAAAGCAAGAUUGGUAGCACAAGGGUAUAAUCAAAUCGAAGGUGUUGACUUUGAAGAAACGUUUGCACCUGUAGCAAGACUUGAAUCAAUCAGACUUUUCUUGGGAAUGGCUUGUAUUCUUAACUUCACGGUUCAUCAAAUGGAUGUUAAAAGUGCUUUUCUAAAUGGUAUACUACAAGAAGAAGUAUAUGUUGAGCAACCUAAAGGAUUUGAAGAUAUGAUGAAACCUGAGUAUGUUUUCAAGCUAAAGAAGGCUCUAUAUGGACUCAAACAAGCACCUAGAGCAUGGUAUGAAAGGCUGACUAACUUUCUGCUUGAGAAAGGCUACAACAGAGGAAGUGUUGAUAAAACUUUGUUUAUUCUUGAAGAAAACAAAGAGAUCAUGAUGGUGCAGAUUUAUGUUGAUGAUAUUAUUUUCGGGAGUACUUCUCAGAAGUUGGUGGAUCAGUUUAUAGAGAACAUGACAAAAGAGUUUGAAAUGAGUUUGGUAGGUGAAUUGAAGUAUUUCUUGGGAUUGCAGAUAGUUCAAUCGGAUGAAGGAAUCUACAUCACACAGAGUACUUAUGCUAAGAAGAUCUUGAAGAAGUUUCAAAUGGAUAAAUGCAAAGAAGCUAAAACUCCUAUGAGUACCUCAUUGAAAUUAUCAAGAGAUGAAAAUGGAACAGAUGUAGACGUCAAAACUUACAGAGGAAUGAUUGGAAGUCUCUUAUAUCUAACUGCUAGUAGGCCUGAUUUAUGUCUGAGUGUUGGAGUUUGUGCUAGAUAUCAAGCAAAGCCUAAACAGUCUCAUCUUGAAGCUGUGAAGAGAAUUCUGAAGUAUGUCAAAGGAACUGUAGAUCUUGGUAUUUGGUAUUCAAGAAACUCAAAUCAAAAUCUGGUUGGUUACUGUGAUGCUGAUUAUGCUGGAAAUGUGAAUGACAGAAAGAGUACAAGUGGAGGAUGUUUCUUUCUUGGAAACAAUCUAAUUGCGUGGUUGAGUAAGAAGCAAAACUCUGUGUCAAUAUCCACCGCAGAAUCUGAGUAUAUUGCCAUGGGAAGUUGUUGCACUCAGUUACUUUGGAUGAAGCAAAUGUUAGCAGAUUAUGGAAUCGACGCUGGAGUUCUUCAAGUCUACUGUGAUAAUCAGAGUGCUAUAGAUAUCUCUAAAAAUCCGGUUCAACAUUCAAGAACUAAACAUAUUGAUGUGAGACAUCACUUUAUUCGAGAAUUGGUUGAAGAAAAGAAGGUUCAGAUUGAUCAUGUUGGGACAGAGAUUCAGCUGGCAGAUAUUUUUACAAAGGCAUUGGACUUCAACAGGUUUGUCACAUUAAGAAAUUCACUUGGAGUAUGUGAACUAUGAUCUGACUCAGUCAGAGAACAAGAGAGCUGAUAUGGUUAUGAAGAUACGGUUCAAUUCAAUAUUUCUAGUUCGGUUUAUCACAUUAGAAGCUCCAAGAAUGGUUUAUUCCGUUUUGUUUUUGGCAAAAAUCGAGUUUUUUUUUUGAAUUUUAAAAAAGGGAUAUGCAAUCAUAACAAGAUUUACUCAAAUCUUGGUGAAAAGAUUCUCGGGGAGAAAGACAAAGAGGCUAAUUGAAAAAAAAAAAGUUUUUAAAACCCUAAGAAACAAGAGAAGCGAGAAAUUCACUGCAGAAAAGUUCUCAAAUCGUAAGAAUGGUGAAAGCUACACGAAGAGGACCAAUCGGAGGAAGAAGACAGGCUAGAGAAAGUCGGUCUGAUGGUGGUGCAGAAAACCCACAAUUUGUUGAUGAACCCAUCGAAGAACCAGUCAGAUCUACAGUUGCUUCUUUAUCUCUGGUUCCAUAUGACAACGAUGAAGAUUCAUUCGCCACUGCAAGCGAAGGAACUAAGAGUGGUGGAUCUGGUGAAGAUAAGCAAGAUGUAGUGGAAUCAAAGAAACCUGACAGAGAUUCUAAGGUUCCUUCUGAACAAUUUGAAGAAGCAGGUUUGAUUUCAUCUCAGAAUGAUGAAAUUCGUGAUCAAUCAGAGCAGAAUCAGAAGCAAGAUUCUACUUUCUCAGAACAAGCUGAACAGAAUGUUAUCGGGUCACAUGCAGAACAGAUAGAAGAAGAAAUAGAUGACAGACAUGUUGAAGUACCAGAGGAAAGGGUUGGAGAUGAACCAAUCCACGUCUCAGAUGUUGAACUUGAGCCCACUGAGCUGACUGUUGAAGAUCAAUUCCAGAAGAAUCAGAAGGAGAAAGAAGCUCGUAAGAAGAGAGUCUUCAAACAGCUAGGUCUAGCUCCUCCAAAGAAGAAACAGAAGAAUGCUGAACCAAGUUCAAAGAAGAACAAAUCUCUCAACGCUUCUGGUUCAGGUAAAAGCAAACCCAAGAAAAGCUUUCGAUCUAAGCUAUUCUCAUCUCCUCAAGCUCGAGAAAGGUAUGCUUUAUUUAAGGAUAGGAGUUUAGUUGAGGAACGCUUGAUUGAUUUAGAAAAAGAAGAUACUUGGGGAUUUUUAGCUUUGAUCAAAUCUGCAAAGUUGGAACCCACUGUAACGAAUCUAGGCAGUUAUGUGAAGGAGGUAAUUGCUGAGUUUUAUGCUAAUCUCCCUUCUGAGAAGUCUGAAGAAAAUUCUGAGAAAGUCAGUGUAUUCAUCAGAGAACAUGUUUAUGAGUUUUCCUCUCAGAAAAUCAACAAGUCUCUUGGGUUCAAAGAGUUGAACAAAGAUGAGUUAAAGGCAGAUAGUGAGGCUGAUUCUAUUGGAAAAGAAAAGCUUGCAGAAAUCUUAAGUGAAGAAGAGAAAACAGGCUGGGAUGACUUGAUUUUUAAGAAUCUUUCACCACGAGUUGGAGCACUUCUUCGUAUCACAGCUCAGAAUUGGAUCCCUUCGUCUAAUCCAGACUAUGUCUCAGUUGAAAGAGCUCAGCUUAUCUACAAAAUCUUUCAUGGGAUCAGAUUUGAUGUUGGGAAGAUGAUUUUCAAUCAAGUGAUGUCACUUGUUCAGAAUAAGGAUGAAAGAUGGUUGGUGUUUCCCCGAAUCAUAUAUGGGAUGCUCAUAAGUCAAAAAGAAGUGACAAUCUUUCCUGGAGAAAAGUUUGUGACUCCUAAGUUCUACAAAAAGGAUGUCAGAACUGGUCAAGCUUACACUGAAAGGAUGAAGGGCAAAGCAAAAGCUAGCACUCAGCCAAAUACUUCAAGAGCUGCUCCUCAAAAUGUAUAUCCUUCUUCUCAGUUUAAUCCAGAGUAUCAAGGAUAUACUGUUGUGGACAUUGGAAGCAUCCGUCUGCCACACCCUGAUGAGGAUGAUAGAGAGGGAAUGUUUAUGGCCUUGUUAGACACAGCUCAGGCUAUUUCCAAGAUGAAUGGAGUGAUUCAACAACUUGUUCUCAGUCAUCCUUUGUCCAAAAGACUAUAGGAAGUUUGGUUUUUAACCUUGAGCUCUCAAGCAGGGGGAGAAAGGAGUAUGGCUGUGAGUCUGGGGGAGUUCAUGUGUUGUGGGGGAGUAGUUAUUUGAUUUUUUUUUGAACUCCAGACUUUGUUGUUGCUUGUUUUUCAGACUUUGUCAGAUUUAGGGGGAGUUAGUCUUUGUUGGACGAAAUUGCUAAAAUUUUUAAUAACUUCGAUUGUUUAAAGUCUGUGAUUGCUUGUGAUGAAAAAUGUCUACAAAAGAUAGAAGAUUUCAAAUGCAGGUGCUUGAGAGACACAAGAUUAAAAAGGGGGAGAUUGAAGAUGCAGCUUCUGAAGGAGUACCUGAACUAAGUCAAGAAGUAACUCAAGAGAACAGAGCAACAUGAACAAGAUUAAGGAAAUAUGCAGAAUCUUGUUAUGGCGGUUUGAAGUAAAGACUAGAAGCUUAGAGAAGAUUCUAGAAGACUGAAGAGUUUCCUUUUGCAAGAAGAAAAGGAAAACAUGAAGACAGAGGACAAUUUCCUAUUCCAUAAAGAAAAAGGAAAUUGUCCAUUCCAAUUAGUUUUAGAAUUGGAAAUCGACCUGUUGUAUGGUCUCAACCUAUUUAGUAUAAAUAGGGUGCUAAGGCUUGUAGAAAGCUGAGCACAAUCACUAGAGAGAAUUCCUAGCUAUUAAGUCUUAGUUUGAGAGAAAUAGAGAACUAGAGGCUUAAAGAGAGCUAAGGGUUUUAAAGAGAGUUAUUGUUCUUAAUCGGUCUGUGAUUAAUGAACAAGACUUAGUGAGAAUAGAAAAUAGUGUUAAAGGAGAAACCUUGUAAACAUAUUUUCUAUUAAUCGAAAGAGUUUUUGAGAAAUUCUGAGUUACAUCGUGAACUAAUUCAAAACUU